AACGAACGCUGGCGGCAUGCCUAACACAUGCAAGUCGAACGAGACCUUCGGAUCUAGUGGCGCACGGGUGCGUAACGCGUGGGAACCUGCCCUUAGAUUCGGAAUAACUCCCCGAAAGGGGUGCUAAUACCGGAUAAUGUCUUCGGACACAAGAUUUAUCGCCGUUGUAUGGGCCCGCGUUGUAUUAGCUAGUUGGUAGGGUAAAAGCCUAUCAAGGCGACGAUCCAUAGCUGGUCUGAGAGGAUGAGCAGCCACACUGUGAGUGAGACACGGCCCAGACUCCUACGGGAGGGAGCAGUAGGGAAUAUUGGACAAUGGGCGAAAGCCUAAUCCAGCAAUGCCGCGUGAGGGAUGAAUGCCGUAGGGUUGUAAAGCCCUUUUACCCGGGAUGAUAAUGACCGGACCGGGAGGAAAAGCCACGGCUAACUCCGUG
rnacentral:rRNA from 1 species